rnacentral:ncRNA from 1 species
AGAAAACUUGGUUCUAGUUUCCUUAUUAGCUUUAUCGUGUCUGCCACAUGCAAGCAAAAAGCGAUCCAGCGGAAAUUUCUUACCUAACUAAAGGGAGAAGACGCAUAAGUUAGAAACAGAAGCUAAAACGAUCCGCGGCCAGCAGUGCUUAACCUUAACACAAUUCAGGAUACUGAGAUUUAGACAACGAUAUAAAGAAGGGGCUCAUACCGUGCCAGCAGCCGCGGUUAUACGUUACCUUCAAGUUAAGAAGAGCCGGUACAAAACAGGAAAAGCAAGCAAAAUCCUUACAGUAAAGAGAAGAUAGCAGUAAUAAGCUAAAAUAACACCUAAACCGUAAGAACGCCUAUCCGGAAAGAAGGGAGAUAAACUAGGAUUAGAUACCCUAUUAUACCCUUCCCAUAAACUAAAAAACCAGAGCAAUACGGUCAACUAAAACUUAAAGAACUUGGCGGUUUUCUAGAUCUCCUUGGAGGAGCUUGUCGUCGAAUUGAUAACCCGCAAGAAACCUCACCAGCUUUAGAACUACAGCUUGUAUACCAUCGUCGUCAGCUCACCUCCAAAGAGAGUGAGCAAAACGGAUAAAACCCACAACGUCAGAUCAAGGUGCAGCCAAUAAACUGGGGAUAGAUGAGCUACCCUAUUUUUCUAACAGAGGAAGUAAACAUGAAAUAUUUACCGAAAAAGGAUUCAACAGUAACUAAGUAAAUAAAGACUUAGUGAACUAAGCUCUAGAAUGCGCACACAUCGCCCGUCACUCUCCUCUAACGAGGAGAAAAGUCGUAACAUAGUAGGUGUAUCGGAAGGUGCCACCUGGAAUAAG